rnacentral:rRNA from 1 species
UCUACGGGCGGCAGCAGUGGGGAAUAUUGGACAAUGGGCGAAAGCCUGAUCCAGCCAUGCCGCGUGUGUGAAGAAGGCCUUCGGGUUGUAAAGCACUUUCAGUGGGGAAGAAAGCCUUGGGGCUAAUACCCUCGAGGAAGGACAUCACCCACAGAAGAAGCACCGGCUAACUCCGUGCCAGCAGCCGCGGUAAUACGGAGGGUGCGGGCGUUAAUCGGAAUUACUGGGCGUAAAGCGCGCGUAGGCGGUCUGAUAAGCCGGUUGUGAAAGCCCCGGGCUCAACCUGGGAACGGCAUCCGGAACUGUCAGGCUAGAGUGCAGGAGAGGAAGGUAGAAUUCCCGGUGUAGCGGUGAAAUGCGUAGAGAUCGGGAGGAAUACCAGUGGCGAAGGCGGCCUUCUGGACUGACACUGACGCUGAGGUGCGAAAGCGUGGGUAGCAAACAGGAUUAGAUACCCCAGUAGUC